rnacentral:misc_RNA from 1 species
GAUGAAGAACGUAGCGAAAUGCGAUACGUAAUGUGAAUUGCAGAAUUCAGUGAAUCAUCGAGUCUUUGAACGCACAUUGCGCCCCCUGGUAUUCCGGGGGGCAUGCCUGUCCGAGCGUCAUUGCUGCCCUCAAGCACGGCUUGUGUGUUGGGCCUCCGUCCUCCUCCCGGGGGACGGGCCCGAAAGGCAGCGGCGGCACCGCGUCCGGUCCUCGAGCGUAUGGGGCUUCGUCACCCGCUCUUGUAGGCCCGGCCGGCGCUUGCCGACACAUCAAUCUUUUUUCCAGGUUGACCUCGGAUCAGGUAGGGAUACCCGCUGAAUUUAAGCAUAUCAUAGCGGAGGA